AUUAAUUUAUUGCACUAUUUUACUAAGGUUAACAUUUAUUUAUAUAUAGUUUUCAUUAAUAUUUUAAUCUGUUUUUGUGUUUUGUUUCAUUUUUAUUUAAUGUUUAUUUAUAUUUUUCAUUUUAAAUGUAAAGUUUUAGUCAUUUUAGUUCUUUUGUAUUUUUUUCAUCAUUAUUACUAUUAUUGUAAAUAUAUCUAUAUAUUUUUUUAUUAAGUUUUAUGUUGUUUAGUUGUUUUAGUGGAUCAAGUUAAACUAAAUGAAAAUGAGAAAUAUUGCCUUGGCAAAUAGCUGAAAUAAAAUAAUUUUUUUGCAUUUUAUUAUAUUAAGGUAUUCAUUCAUUCAUUUAUAUUCAUUUUUAUUUUUAUUUCAGAAGGGAGAGUGUACAUUAAGAAAAAAAAAAGCAUUCCAAUCUAAAUGGCGAGAAGCAGCACAGCAGUCCUCAGUCCGAGGACGAGCCCACGACCCCGAAAGUCCGUCCCAACCCCAAGUACCAGCUCUACCUGGGCUCCAACGGCACCAGCGGCUCCAACGGGACCCUGCUGAGGGUCAGUCCUGUGAUCCGGGGGUCCAUGGAGUCGCUGUCGUCCCGGGACGGGGACAGCAUGUCCGACAGAACAGGUGGCUUUGAAAGUCCUCCCCGAGUUUUCAACAGUCCGUAUUCGACGCUCUCGCUGGACUACAAUCCCUUCAACAGAAUGUCUGACUUCAAGACACAGGAAGUGAUGUCACCCACCGUCUCUGAGAUGAACCUGUUCGGUCUGAACAGAAGCGUGAGUCCCGUUAACAGUCCGGCUCUGAACCAGCGCACACGAGUCCCUGGAUACGACAGUCUGACCCGCAGACGAGACGUGAGUCUAGGCUGCCUCAUUAACGCACAGCUAAAAUUCGAAUGCAACGUUUUUGCAUUCGAAUGUGGAUUUUUAUUUUAAAUUCGACGAAUAUUCCAAAUAUGAUUUUUUUUGACAGCCCUAAUUAAUAACAUCACAAAUGUUGUUAGUUGAAAUAAAAUAAGUUAACUGAAAUACAAAAACUUAAACGUGUUUUAUUUCACUUCAACUAGAGCUAAAACUGAAAUAAAAAUAGACAUACUUUAAGAAAACAAUAGACGUACUUUAAAAAAAACGAACAAAAAUUACAAACACGCAACAAAAUAAAUAAAACUAACUAAAGAAAAAAUGAAAACAGAAAAUAUAAAAAUAAAAGCUAUGAAAAUAAGAAAAUUCUAAUAUUAAUAAAAACUAUAAUAAUAUCUCAAUGAAACUAGAAUAACAGGAACUAAUGGC
rnacentral:lncRNA from 1 species